AUUGAACGCUGGCGGCAGGCCUAACACAUGCCAGUCGAACGGUAACAGGAAGAAGCUUGCUUCUUUGCUGACGAGUGGCGGACGGGUGAGUAAUGUCUGGGAAACUGCCUGAUGGAGGGGGAUAACUACUGGAAACGGUAGCUAAUACCGCAUAACGUCGCAAGACCAAAAAGGGGGACCUUCGGGCCUCUUGCCAUCGGAUGUGCCCAGAUGGGAUUAGCUAGUAGGUGGGGUAACGGCUCACCUAGGCGACGAUCCCUAGCUGGUCUGAGAGGAUGACCAGCCACACUGGAACUGAGACACGGUCCAGACUCCUACGGGAGGCAGCAGUGGGGAAUAUUGCACAAUGGGCGCAAGCCUGAUGCAGCCAUGCCGCGUGUAUGAAGAAGGCCUUCGGGUUGUAAAGUACUUUCAGCGGGGAGGAAGGGAGUAAAGUUAAUACCUUUGCUCACUGACGUUACCCGCAGAAGAAGCACCGGCUAACUCCGUG
rnacentral:rRNA from 1 species